GGCUAGAAUUCAGGUUACACAGCUAUUUGGAAUGUGAACACUGCUGUAAUGCCUUUGCAUUUCCUGUUACCCUUGAGCUGUGUCUGCCCUUGCAAGUUUUGCUGAACCAUGGGAACAGGUCUGCAGGGUGCAGAGGCUGAUGCAGGGGCACUGUGGACUCCAGACUCAGUUGGGUUGUUCUUCAGACUGGCUCUUAUCUGCUUCCCACAGCUGAACACCCAAUUAUGGCUGCAGCAUUGCAAUUGCAUUUCUGAAACACGUUUUUCUGUUUGUUUGUGGGCUCCAAUUGAGUCAAUGCAGAGUGAGCAGGGAUGAGGGGAGGCUGGCUCCAGAAGUGCAUUUCUGAUCCCACUGAAAUGUGUGUGGCCACCUCCCUUGGUGCCCAGCAGAGCAGCUCUGUGCAGGGCUGUCCCCCAGCCAUGUGCAGAACACAUCUGGAGGGAGUGGCUGCUCAACAUUUGUGGGGGUGUCAGAAUGUGGCAACUGUUAGGAUUGCUCCCCUAAAAAUACACUCCUGGGGGAGCUACCAAACCAGUUCUUAAUGGAGUCAGUCCAUGGAAUUGCUACAGGAUGAGUUUUAAGACACAGAAGAAGAAGGUAUAUAUCUUUUAUGGGUGAUUUUUUAAUAUAAAGAAUGUCAUAAACAAGUUAAAUUAGGUAACUUUAUUUAAGAUGAAGUAAAUGUAGCCCUACAGCUUCUGAAAUGUCUAUUUUAGGAGUAAUGUACCUAAUAUGAGGUUCAUUUUAUGCAUCUUGUCAUAAUGGUUGCUGUCUGGAAUGAUUGCAUUAUGAACCAAUUGUUAUUUAUGUUACCACUGGAGACAAGGAUUUUAUUAGUGAAAUUUAGUUCCCAGAUUCAUUUCAUAAUCCCUAUGCCCAUCACUUAGAGAGAAGAAGAAAACACAAAUCAAGAUGACAUUUUAAAAAAAAAAGGAGCCUACGCUGGUCUUGUAGGAACAUCUAAAUCCUUUCCCAUAUUAAAUACCUUAUCUCAGCAGUAGUGCACCAGCCAUUUAGGAAAAUUAAAGAGGGAGAUAGCACAAAAGAGACAGCAGAUGCUCAAGCAGAGCAGUUUCUAGUCCCGUAGAUAAUGAAGGGACUAGGCACAUGGCCUUUCAGUUUAUCCCUGCUUCAGCUUAUCCUUCAUCUGCUUAAAUUCAAAUGGAUCAGGCAUUAUUAAAAUCAUUUUGAAAUUAGCUGCUCCAGUUUCAUGUGACUUUUAGGUGUAUCCUCUAAAACUUGGUGACUCUUUGGGAAGACAGAUGCUGUAGAUUUUUGCCAUUUUAAUUCAGUUUGGAACAUGAUUUCUAAGUAACAACUGGUAGCUAAUGCUUAAAUAAAAUUAAAUUUUACUCACUGUGUAUUUUAUCCCUUCCAGUGAUCUGUCACAUAAAAAAAUAUAGACUUCUUGCUGAAAAACACCAAGUAUUUUGUGCAAGGUGCUAUGGGCUUACAAUGCUAACAGAUACUGGACUCUGGAAGUAUAUUUUCAACUAAUUUUCUUUAUUCUUGGAUAAAUAUCCUUCUGUCACCCUUGGAACUUUCUACUUGCUAAUUCUGAGAAACACUAUCUGUAAGCAUGUAUGCAUGAAGCAAUGACCAGCCACCCUGCCAAACAUUUAAAAUCUACUCCAAACAACUGCUGCAACAAAUCUCAUGCAGUUCCAGCCCCUGACCAGCCUCACCUUGGCAUCUCCUGGCACUGCCCAAGCCAUGUGCAUGGCAGGGCUCCCCAGGCUCAGCCUGUUUGCCUCCCCAGGGACAGCAUUUAUUGAGAAUUCUGCAUUCCCACUGAUUUCUAUAGAAACAAACACACAUUUUAAUAGCAAACACUGCAGGUUAGCACAUACAGAGAGAUUCUUCACGCUGUUUAUUUCAGUGGUUCAUAAGUUUUAUGCCAUCCUAAAACAUGCUAUGGUCAUCUGUUUCCUCUUCCCCCUUCCUCCUACCCGAUUUAAAAUCUGGCAGUGGGGAUCAUUAGGAGAUUUCUGUCAACUUCAGGCACUUGAAGAAAACAGUGAUGGUUCUUACCUUCCCAUUUGGCCACACAGCACCACUGCAAUUCUCCUUUUGUGUCUCCUGGAGCAUGAACACCAGUCACAUCCAGCACGCACGUGCCACAUGGAAGCAGCUGACUGCUCCCAGCUCCUGGCAGAAGGUGCUUUAUGACUUCUCUGCCUUUUGGCUGUCAAAAGUUCCUCGAUGAGCAGCAGCUCCUAAAUGAGCUGAUCUGCAGAGAGCUUCACUGCCACGUGGCUUCCCUGGCAGCACCUUGCUGAGCUCUGGUAACACAAUCCACAAGAAUCAAGGAUCUUGAACUACAUUACGUCUUGAAGCCCCUGCCAUUGAAGUCACCAGCUCAGAGGUGAACAGGUCAGCUCUUCAAACCUAAGGCUAGAAAUCCUGGGUGCUUAAAGGUGUUUUAGAUCAGCUUUUCUGAGGCAAAGCUCCCCACCACAGGGAACACAGGAGGAAGGCACUGCUCACAGGUCACUGCCUACUGAUGUACCAGGGCAAUGGUGACGCCAAGCUUUGCCACAGGACCUUAAACUGGGAUGGCCCAAGAGUGGCUGCUACAAAUUGUGAGUUUAAGGAGGAGAGUAUUUUCUUGUUUUUCCAUGCUGUUUUCUCUGCAGUGAAACUGUCAGUGAGUACAAUAAAUACACUUCAGCUCCGUGAAGAGUUAAGAGCCAGUGUUUACACUUCUGCCUCCAGACUUCCCAGGGACAGGUUUGGACCUGACAGACCCCAAGACAUUUUUAGUAACACCAACACCUCCAUCCACCCUGUGCUCCUCUCUGUCUUCUCUUUCACUCCCUGCACCAGGAGGCUUAGUGACCUCAGCACCGUGCAAAUGACUUCAUAGGCAUCACUUGAGAUGAAUGGAACAGUGUUAUAUUACAGCCCAAACAAUGUGCCUUACAGACAGAGUGACAGCAAACUGGAAUAUCACCUUUGGAACUGCAUUGCAAAAUUAGUAAA